rnacentral:rRNA from 1 species
CCUACGGGUGGCAGCAGUCGAGAAUCAUUCACAAUGGGGGAAACCCUGAUGGUGCGACGCCGCGUGGGGGAAUGAAGGUCUUCGGAUUGUAAACCCCUGUCAUGUGGGAGCAAAUUAAAAAGAUAGUACCACAAGAGGAAGAGACGGAGAACGCGGUGCGAGCAGCCGCGGGAAUACAGAGGUCUCAAGCGUUGUUCGGAAUCACUGGUCGUAAAGCGGGCGUAGGCUGUUUCGUAAGUCGUGUGUGAAAGGCGCGGGCUCAACCCGCGGACGGCACAUGAUACUGCGAGACUAGAGUAAUGGAGGGGGAACCGGAAUUCUCGGUGUAGCAGUGAAAUGCGUAGAUAUCGAGAGGAACACUCGUGGCGAAGGCGGGUUCCUGGACAUUAACUGACGCUGAGGCACGAAGGCCAGGGGAGCGAAAGGGAUUAGAUACCCUAGUAGUC